UCGAGAAUAAUUCACAAUGGGGGCAACCCUGAUGGUGCAACGCCGCGUGGAGGAUGACGGUCUUCGGAUUGUAAACUCCUGUCAUCCGGGAGUAAGACCUGGCAGUUAAUAGCUGACAGGGUUGAUAGUACCGGAAGAGGAAGGGACGGCUAACUUCGUGCCAGCAGCCGCGGUAAUACGAAGGUCCCGAGCGUUGUUCGGAAUCACUGGGCGUAAAGGGAGCGUAGGCGGCGCGGUAAGUCAGAUGUGAAAUCCCGGGGCUCGACCCCGGAACUGCAUCCGAUACUGCCGUGCUAGAGGAUUGGAGAGGUAGCUGGAAUUCUUGGUGUAGCAGUGAAAUGCGUGGAUAUCAAGAGGAACACUCGUGGCGAAAGCGAGCUACUGGACAACUCCUGACGCUGAGGCUCGAAGGCCAGGGUAGCGAAAGGGAUUAGAUACCCCUGUAGUCCUGGCAGUAAACGGUGCACGCUUGGUGUGAGGGGAUUCGA
rnacentral:rRNA from 1 species